UAGCUAGUUGGUGAGGUAACGGCUUACCAAGGCGACGAUCUGUAGCGGGUCUGAGAGGAUGAUCCGCCACACUGGAACUGAGACACGGUCCAGACUCCUACGGGAGGCAGCAGUGGGGAAUUUUGGACAAUGGGGGCAACCCUGAUCCAGCCAUGCCGCGUGAGUGAAGAAGGCCUUCGGGUUGUAAAGCUCUUUCGGCCGGGAAGAAAUCGCAUGGGCCAAUACCCUGUGUGGAUGACGGUACCGGAAUAAGAAGCACCGGCUAACUACGUGCCAGCAGCCGCGGUAAUACGUAGGGUGCGAGCGUUAAUCGGAAUUACUGGGCGUAAAGCGUGCGCAGGCGGUUUUGUAAGACAGGCGUGAAAUCCCCGGGCUCAACCUGGGAACUGCGUUUGUGACUGCAAGGCUAGAGUACGGCAGAGGGGGGUGGAAUUCCACGUGUAGCAGUGAAAUGCGUAGAGAUGUGGAGGAACACCAAUGGCGAAGGCAGCCCCCUGGGUCGAUACUGACGCUCAUGCACGAAAGCGUGGGUAGCAAACAGGAUUAGAUACCCUGGUAGUCCACGCCCUAAACUAUGUCAACUAGGUGUUGGGUGGGUAAAACCAUUUAGUACCGUAGCUAACGCGUGAAGUUGACCGCCUGGGGAGUACGGCCGCAAGGUUAAAACUCAAAGGAAUUGACGGGGACCCGCACAAGCGGUGGAUGAUGUGGAUUAAUUCGAUGCAACGCGAAAAACCUUACCUACCCUUGACAUGCCAGGAACUUGCCAGAGAUGGCUUGGUGCCCGAAAGGGAGCCUGGACACAGGUGCUGCAUGGCUGUCGUCAGCUCGUGUCGUGAGAUGUUGGGUUAAGUCCCGCAACGAGCGCAACCCUUGUCGUUAAUUGCCAUCAUUUAGUUGGGCACUUUAGCGAGACUGCCGGUGACAAACCGGAGGAAGGUGGGGAUGACGUCAAGUCCUCAUGGCCCUUAUGGGUAGGGCUUCACACGUCAUACAAUGGUCGGUACAAAGGGUCGCCAAGCCGCGAGGUGGAGCCAAUCCCAGAAAGCCGAUCGUAGUCCGGAUUGCAGGCUGCAACUCGCCUGCAUGAAGUCGGAAUCGCUAGUAAUCGUGGAUCAGCAUGUCACGGUGAAUACGUUCCCGGGUCUUGUACACACCGCCCGUCACACCAUGGGAGCGGGUUCCGCCAGAAGUAGGCAGCCUAACCGCAAGGAGGGCGCUUACCACGGCGGGGUUCGUGACUGGGGUGAAGUCGAAACAAGGUAGCCGUAGGGGAACCUGCGGCUG
rnacentral:rRNA from 1 species